rnacentral:ncRNA from 1 species
AAGCGAUGAAAUUACUAUUCUUCUGGUAUGGAGUAGAUAAUGGAGCUUGUUGUGGGUUGUAAGUGUAACCGCAAACCAGAAAAGAAAACUUACAUU